AAAAAAAACAUUGCAGCACAGGCAGACAGCUGCUUUGCCGUUGUAUGUAUUUAGUUUACCGUUUUAUUUAUUCAUCCGUCCAUGGUGAUUCUUGAAUUUUCUCGAAAGUUUAAUUAGUGUAAUAAAGCAGCUUUCGAGGUCAAAAUGCCGCAAGACCGAAGGAAGGUUCCGUUUAGCGGGAAAGCGAAGAAGCAGCAGAUACAAGCGAAGAAGAACAGACAAAAUAAAACUCUACUGUUAUCAACUUCAUCGGGCUCGAGCACCUACGAUGUGGUAUCGGUCAAUUACCAGCCAAAGAACCGCGGCGGGCGCGGCGACUCCAAUAGAUACACCCUAAAGUUCUACAGGGAGACCGAUGCGGAGAUGACAUUGAAGAAGGAAGAGGCAUUGAAAUCUCUUAACUCGGUCUCUGAGAAGGACAUGGAAGUGGACCCGGCUGAAUUCUUCCCCGACGAGUUGACGUUCCCCAAGCGACCUCCGUGGGACUUCAACAUGACUCCGGCUCAACUCGAUAGCCAGGAACAGCGGUAUUUUAAGCACUACAUAGACAAACUGCAAGCGUCGGACCACUGGAAGGACGUGUCCUAUUUCGAGUUGAACCUGGAGACGUGGCGACAGCUGUGGAGGGUGCUGGAGAUGUGUGAUGUACUUCUGCUCAUCGUCGACGUUAGAUACGCUGGCAUGAUGUUCCCGCCAUCCCUGUACGAGUAUGUGGUGAAAGAACAAAAGAAGGACAUGAUACUGGUGCUGAACAAGAUAGACCUGGUCCCAGCGGCGGCGGUGUGCGCGUGGCGGCAGCACUUCACCCGCAGCUGCCCCGCGCUGCGCGUGCUGUGCUUCACCUCGUGCCCCGGGUACAACCUGCGGGGGGCCACCAACGACAAAGCGGGUCUCCAAGUGCGCCGGCGCAGGGGUCGCCAACAGAUGUGUACAGAGGGCGCCACUAAACUACUGGAAGCCUGCAAACAGAUCGUUGGGACUCACGUCGACCUCAGCUCAUGGGAGAAGAAGAUUCGAGAGGAGUCUUCUUUGGAGAGAGACGAAGACGAGAGAACUGAGAUCGGCGAAAUGAUUCAAGAGAAAGCGGACACGACAUAUUACAAACAUGAGAAAUAUAAAAAUGGCGUUCUGACAUUAGGCUGUGUGGGUCAACCUAACGUGGGGAAGUCUUCUCUGAUGAACGCCAUCAUGGGAAAGAAGGUGGUGUCGGUGUCCCGAACCCCAGGACACACGAAACACUUCCAGACUAUAUUUUUGACGCCUCAGGUCCGUCUAUGUGACUGUCCAGGUUUGGUGUUCCCUUCCACCGUCCCGCGUCCCAUACAAAUAUUGAUGGGGUCCUACCCCAUAGCUCAGCUUAGGGAACCAUACACAACUAUCAGAUACCUUGCUGAAAGGCUGGAUUUACCGAAGCUCCUGCGCAUCGAUCAUCCGGAGAAUGACGACAGCUGGUCUCCACGAGACAUCUGCGACGGCUGGGCCAAGAAAAGGGGUUACCUCACCGCUAAAGCUGCCAGAUUAGACACAUAUCGAGCGGCGAACAGUAUAUUAAGAAUGGCUUUGGACGGCAAAAUAUGCCUUUGGCUCAGACCUCCGGGGUUCACAGAGGAGAGGGAAACAUUUGAAAACCACGAAGAUCUGAAAUACAUACGAUGGGUGCAAGCGUUGACGAACGAAGAAACCAGUUCGAUUACCUCGGACAGUGAUGACGAGAGAAGGUCCAGUGAAAGUGACUCGGAGGACAGCGACGAUGGCGAGGAAGCCACUAUAGCUAUGGCGAACAAGUUCAAGGCGCUCGCUAAUGAGGAUUAGGCUAUCUUUAUUACUAUCAUUAUAAACAGGUAUCAAUAAAAGAAGAUUGUGAGAGAUUGCCUGAACUAAGCAGAGCCUGUAUCUCAGCACACCAGCCUCUCCCCGCCUGGAGUAAGACUAAAGUACAAUACACUAAAGAGAGUAUUGAGAAAGGAGAUCUUAUAUAAUAUAUAUUGCGGAGCUUGUACGAUGCAGUCCCUGCUCGAGAACGACUUGCCGCAUUCUCUGCACUCGUGCAACGCCCCCGCCUCCUUCUCCCUGUGGUUGCGCGUGUGCCGCGCGAGGUUGCGCUUCCACUGGAAUAACUUGCCACAGAUCUGACAUGGGUAUGUCAAGCCUUCGUGGAUCGCGCUGAGUUUAAAGAAAUCAAUCUUGAAUGGUCGUAAAGGGCUAACUAAUAGGCUAAUACUAGGCUAAUAUUAUAAAUGCGAAAGUAAGUUUGUUACCUCUCCACGCUCUAUCCACUCGACCAAUCUUCUUGAAAUUUUGCAUACAUGUAGUUUGAAGUACGGAGAAGGACAUAGGGUCGCGGAAAACUUCAGUUAUCGUAGAAAAUUCACGUGGGCGGAGCCGCGGGAAAAAGCUAGUUUUCAUGUAAAAAUAUACGUAUUAUAUAUGUAUUUUUUUAUCAGCACUCGAUCGUAAUCAUUUUUAUAUAUUUAUUGUAAUACUGUAAAGAAAAAAAAAAAACGACUAUAAACGGUAAGCCUUUAUGGCACGAAAAUAUAGUUUUUUGUUAAAGACGUAUGAUUCCCGCCUUACAUACCCUCUAUAAACGUGUUGCACUCCGCGAGUGCCCAGAAGUGUGAAAACUUGAAUAUUAACUUUGUGGAUUUUUGACGUCUGACGAAUUUUCGAUCAGAGUACUUAGUGCGUGUUAGCAUGUCACUUCUCACCAUCGAGUCGAUUCGAAGUGAGACGCAGCGAGCCAAUCACAUUGCAGUGUGGUUGUCGUUGCGUCACAAUGGAGCAUUGUGAUUGGUUCGCUGCGUCUCGAGCGCGAGAAGUGUAAUGCUAACCCGCACUUCGCCCACAGGUCACGUGUCCUGACGCGAGUUUAACAUUUUUUACCCAUCACAAAAAGUGCACGACGCCGCUAAACAAGUUUUCACUUAAAAACAUUGAUAGAUGGUGGGUAACCACGGCAUACACAGACGCAGACGUCAGGCAGGCGGCCGGUCGUAAAAUCAGAGAAAAAUUUCUAAACGGUCUACGCUUCACGGCGUGAAGAACCUCGGUGGCGCAGUGGUAAAGUGCUUGCCUCUGAACCGGGUUCGAUCCCCGGUCGGGUCAUGAUGGAAAAUGAUCUUUUUCUAAUUGGCCCGGGUCUUGGAUGUUUAUCUAUAUAUUUAUUUGUUAUAAAAUAUAGUAUCGUUGAGUUAGUAUCCCAUAACACAAGUCUCGAACUUACUUUGGGGCUAGCUCAAUCUGUGUGAUUUGUCCGUAUAUAUUUAUUUAUUGAAGAAGAAUGAGAAGAGUAGAUAUAUGACUUACGAAUGCGCUUUGUAACUCUUCUUAGAAGGGAACACUUUAUCGCAUCCUUUGCACGGAAUAUAUAGCUUUUCCUUCGGUUUCUCUUCUUUAUUGCUGGCAAUCAAUUUGUUCGCUCUGUUGAUUAAAAUAAUUAAUUAAUUAAUAUUAAUAACAUUUAUAUUGGCAUAAUUUUGUCUACGUGCUCAGUCGAUGCUACUGAACAACUUUUCGUAUGGAAGCAACAUUGAAAUCGCGAAAAAAUAAUCAGCUGAUCCAUACAUUUUCCACAAGUUAGGUAUUUAAUAUUGUAUGGAACAGCUGAUAUUUUUUUCGCGAUUUCAAAGUUACUCCCAUACUAAAAGUUGUUCAGAAUCAUGGACUGAGCGUGUAGACAAAAUAUUGCCAAUGUAUAAAAAGUCACCCCUGUGUAUUGGUGCAAUAAAUUUAACAAAUCAACACAUUUUAUAUUUUACUAGCGACACGCACCGGCUUCGCUCGGUUGCAAUAUUAUGCAUGUUAUCAUUAUUACCGUUGCCUAGUUUCAAAGAUCUAAGCAUACAUCAGAACAGAUGAUCCUAAUAUUAUAAAUGCGAAAGUAAGUUCGUUUCUUUGUUACCUCAUCAAAUUUUGCAUACAUGUAGUUUAGGGUACCUUUCAUUCAGGAAAAUUAACGCAAGCCGCGGGCAAGAGCUAGUGGGUAAUAAAUAAAAUCUUGUGAAGACUGAUUUCAGUCACUCCACUCAGAUAACUCACUUGAGAUGAUAUUUCAGCGUCAUUUUAUUGGCGAAAACUUUACCGCAACAAUCGCACUGCGGCCGUUCCCGACUGCACACAGACUUGUGGUAGUUCAAACGAGAUCUAGAACUGAACAAGUGCAUUUGUUAGACAGAUUAAAAAAAUCACCGACUUUCAAUAUUCAUUUCGCCACAACUUUUGAACGGCUGAACCGAUUUCGAUCAAACAUUAUCUAUCUAUUAGAAACACCGCAUAAAAAUUAGCUAUCAAAUAAAAAAAGUUGAUGAUCAAAAGCUACGACGCAACGUACACAGACAGACAGACAGACACACUUAGCGGUCAAACUAAUAACACCCCUCUUUGCGUCGGGGGUUAAAAAAUAAAUAUAUCAGGUCAAAUCACACAGAUUGAGCUAGCCCCAAAGUAAAUUCACUCAA